GAUGAACGCUGGCGGCGUGCCUAAUACAUGCAAGUCGAGCGAACAGACGAGGAGCUUGCUCCUCUGACGUUAGCGGCGGACGGGUGAGUAACACGUGGAUAACCUACCUAUAAGACUGGGAUAACUUCGGGAAACCGGAGCUAAUACCGGAUAAUAUAUUGAACCGCAUGGUUCAAUAGUGAAAGACGGUUUUGCUGUCACUUAUAGAUGGAUCCGCGCCGCAUUAGCUAGUUGGUAAGGUAACGGCUUACCAAGGCAACGAUGCGUAGCCGACCUGAGAGGGUGAUCGGCCACACUGGAACUGAGACACAGUCCAGACUCCUACGGGAGGCAGCAGUAGGGAAUCUUCCGCAAUGGGCGAAAGCCUGACGGAGCAACGCCGCGUGAGUGACGAAGGUCUUCGGAUCGUAAAACUCUGUUAUUAGGGAAGAACAAAUGUGUAAGUAACUAUGCACGUCUUGACGGUACCUAAUCAGAAAGCCACGGCUAACUACGUG
rnacentral:rRNA from 1 species